rnacentral:pre_miRNA from 1 species
AGGACCAUCUCUCUCCUGCCCCACUUAUCCCUUUGGUAUAUAAGUGGCAGUGAUUGAGAUUGUUCUAA